UUGAACGCUGGCGGCAGGCCUAACACAUGCAAGUCGAGCGGAUGAGAGGAGCUUGCUCCUCGAUUCAGCGGCGGACGGGUGAGUAAUGCCUAGGAAUCUGCCUAGUAGUGGGGGACAACGUUUCGAAAGGAACGCUAAUACCGCAUACGUCCUACGGGAGAAAGUGGGGGAUCUUCGGACCUCACGCUAUUAGAUGAGCCUAGGUCGGAUUAGCUAGUUGGUAGGGUAAAGGCCUACCAAGGCGACGAUCCGUAACUGGUCUGAGAGGAUGAUCAGUCACACUGGAACUGAGACACGGUCCAGACUCCUACGGGAGGCAGCAGUGGGGAAUAUUGGACAAUGGGCGAAAGCCUGAUCCAGCCAUGCCGCGUGUGUGAAGAAGGCCCUCGGGUCGUAAAGCACUUUAAGUUGGGAGGAAGGGCUUACAGCGAAUACCUGUGAGUUUUGACGUUACCGACAGAAUAAGCACCGGCUAACUUCGU
rnacentral:rRNA from 1 species